AGUAACGCGUAGACAAUCUGCCCCUUACAGUGGGAUAACUCCGGGAAACUGGGACUAAUACCGCAUAAUAUCUUUUUGUGGCAUCAUUAGAAGAUUAAAGAUUUCGAAUCGGUAAGGGAUGAGUCUGCGUAUCAUUAGCUUGUUGGUGGGGUAACGGCCUACCAAGGCAUCGAUGAUUAGCUGGUCUGAGAGGAUGAUCAGCCACACUGGGACUGAGAUACGGCCCAGACUCC
rnacentral:rRNA from 1 species